GUACUCGCGGCGGCCCGGCCCUCGCCCGGGAGUGCGUGUGUGCGCGCGUGUGUAUGUGUGUGUGUGUGUGCGUGUGCGCGAGUGUGUGUGCGGGGUGCGCGCGCGGGCGGGAGUGGGCGCGCGCGGGGAAAGGCCCGAAAACACCUUAGUUUGCACCGAGAGACCAUUUGCAGCGGAACCCGAAAGUUUGCAAGAGGAAGAGAGCGCGCGGCGAACAAGCGGGCAAGGGGCAGCGGCAGCGGCGCCGCCAGGGACCAUGGUGCUGCCGGCGCCUCCUCCGCGGGCGUGAAGGCGGCGCUCCCACUCUCCCCUCGGACUCCGCGGUGUCCCAGGAGCUUCUGCUGACAAUUCCAGUUUCCACACGCAACAUUUGGGCAAUGGUGAGGGCUUCGGUCCCUUCUUUGGUUUGCUGUCAACCAUGAAUGGAUGGAUUUGAUGCCUGCUGGCCAAAAGGGUGAAUUGAAAAGUUGGGCCUUUAAAAGCACGAAGGGAGAGAGGGACUCAGAAGCGAAUGCGUCUGAUUUUUCACUUUGCAGCCAGUUAAUUCUUUGAAACCCCACCCCGUCCAACAUUGUCCCUCUGUGUGUUGCAGUCCUGUGGCAUUAUGCAUGCCCCCAGCCAGUGACCCCCCAGGCUUUUUAUGGCUGUGAGACACGUUAAAAGUUCAGGGGUAAGAAGUGACCUUUUGAGGUGACUCUAACUGAAGAUUGCUUUACAGAAGCCAGAAAAGGUAAAUGCAAAUAUGAUCAGUGGAAUUGCAUCUAGGGCUGUAAUACCUUCUAGGCAUCUUCAUUCAGCUCUUUUCCUAUCUACGUAAUUAUCAAAUCUUUGUGUAUUUAUUUGUGUGUAAGUCUGUUUUUAGAGGUCUUUAAAGAAAAGAUUGUCCUUAAGAAAUGGUUUCCAGGGUCACAUUUUCCCCCUUAAAUAUUAUCAAACUUGUCCCCUGCUUGUGGAAGCUGAACUUUUUUUUUUUUUGGUUGUUGACUUGGUGGGUUUAAAGUUAGAAAGGAAAAUGCACAUCACAAAAAUGGUGAUUCAUAAAAUGAACUUGCUGCAAACAGGAGUAACCCGUGUCAGUGUUCUGUGCUGAAGUGGUGUCACGCUAUGGAUGUUCAUCUGGCAGCUUUAUAAUCACCUUCUUUCAGAAAUUAAUAGUCAGGCGCCAUAGCAACAUGCCGCGUUGAUGUAACUGCCGUGUGGCGUGGGGCAUGUCCCUGUGAUGUCAGUGCUCAGCUGCCUUGUUCUCUUGACCUUGCUGGAAAAUCAAAUGAGUACUUGAUUUUAAAAUUAGAAGUUUUCAUCACGACUCAUGUAGCUUGAUGAAUUAAAGCUAAAUUAAAUUUUCUCCGACUCACUUUUGGGAGCAGGGGCAAAAAAAAAAAAAAAGUCUUCUGGUUAAAGUGGUUAUAGAUGCUGCCUAUUAUUUUUGAUUCCCAAAGUAUCUCUCCGGUGAGGGCCCUGGUCACCUCACCUAAGUUAAUCUUACAGGUCAUUUUUAAGUCUGAUGUUUCUCAGGUUGCGAGCAUCUUCCUACUAUUGUUGAAUCUUGGCCAGUGGUAAUUCCAUUCGAUUUAGUAGAUCUGUGUCUAUUUUAAAACAGGUUAUUUGCCAGCCUGGUUGCACAAAGCCUUUGCUCAGAUCAAAGAUGAUUUGUAAGAUACAGACUUCUUAUUACUACUCUUCAGUUGAGCAAAGUUUUUUGUGAAACUUUCAUAAUGUGAAGAUUCUUAGAUCGGUUUUGUUUUUAAUUUCACAUACGGUUUGGGGUGCUAGAAGGCAUUAUAAAGGUAGGGAUUUGCUUUUCUUGUUGCAUUUUGGCACAUUUGAUUUGGACCAAAAAAAUCCAACCAACUUGCCUCAUUUCAUCAUCAUUCUUGUUUAAAUUAAACAAUAUGGGAAGCACCAGAUUGUCCUCCAAAGAGUUCAGUGCCUUUCGGAUGUCCUGGCGUGGAAAAGGUUGAUUCCAACCACUAAUUUGGGUUGUCAAGGUAACAGCCAUUGGGCAAAGCACACCAGUCCCCAUCUCCCAGUCUCAGUCAAGUUCAGGGAUCUGCAACUUUUUUCUAAAGAGAUGCCCAGUCAGUAUUUCCUAUGUUGUGGGCCCUUCUGUGUCUCUGCCACAGCUACUCAGCUGUACGUUGUGAGUUCUGGUCUCUGUGAUCCCUGCAAGGUCUCAAUCCAAGAUGUUCGUCAUACAGAGCCAUGCCAGGUGCUUAACUCAUUUUGUGUGGUUGGUGAAGGUUUCUGGUGAAGCUAAAAAUUAUGACUAAACAAAGCCGAAAAAGUGAUUGAAAAGAUGAAAUAUUCAGCUUGAGAGUUGUGUUAUCCCUGUAACCCCCAAAAUGGGCUUCGUUAGUAGGUUUUCAUGGUUUUAUUUGGAAUCACCUAUAAGCAUAAAUUAUUUUUCUUCCAACUUGAUGUCUUUUGAUGACAUUGAAGCUUACACCUAUGACCUGAAAAUGUUUGAAAUUGUGUGAUAUGGUUUUUCCCAAUUCUGUGCUAAUGUUCGGAGUUAAGGAUAUCAUGAGUCUAGGGUAAGUUUGGCGGAGAGAAAAAGCUUCCAGUAAUUUGUCAUUAGUGUUGACUCAGAAAAAUGGUCUAUGGGGAGGAAAAAAAAAAAAAUCUUUUUUUUAUAACUAAUGUCAAGAACAUGGUAUAGUAUACACUAUCUUGCAAGUCAGGAACCCCUUGUUGAAAGGGGUUUCAAGAACAUAGAAAAACUUUGUUCCUUUGCCUCCUUUCAUAAAACAAAGGAAGCCGAACAACAAAAUCAUAUAAUUUUUGUUUUGACUGCUAGGAAUCUCAAAGUAAGAGAUUUUGCCUUAUCUUAGUAAUUUUUUCUAACUUGAACUUUCCGGUGUUAAUAAUUUUCCUUUUCAUUUUUUGGCCACACCUGAGGUGUAUAGGAAUUCCCAGGCUAGGGGUCAAAUUAGAGCUGUAGCUCUGGCCUAUGCCACAGCAAUGCCAGGGUCACAUCCAAGCCGUGUCUGUGACCUACGCAGCCACUUGUGGCAACACCAGAUCUUUAACCCACUGAGUGAGGCCAGAGAUUGGACCCACAUCCUCACAAAGACAGCAUUGGGGUUUUAACCUGUUGAGCCACAAGGGGAACUCCUGAUAUUAUAUUUUUAAGUCAACUUAAUGUUUCUGGCUCCCAAUUAACAUUUUAUUAUUUAACUAUUUUUCUUCUACAAUAUCAACUUCAUUGUAUUAUGGCUCUUUUCAAGUAUUUUUUAAAGAAAAAUGUUAUAUAGACAAAUAAUAAAUUACAUGUACUUUUUAAUCUUUUAAUAAGCUUGAGGAUCCUUCAGAAAUGAAUCCUUGUACAUCUUGAUCUCUUAUGUAUAAAGGAAAAAAAAACUUGUUAAAAAAUAUGAAAUCUAGCAGUUUCCGAUGUGGUGCCGCAGGUAAAGGAUCCAGUUUUAUCUCUGUGGUGGCUUGAGUUCAAUCCCCAGCCCAGCACAGUGGGUUAAGGAUCCAGCGUUGCUAAUACAGCUCUGGGGUAGGUCACUGCUGCAGCUUGGAUUCAAUCCCUGGCCUGGAAGCUUCCAUAGGACACGUGUUUUGCCAUAAAAAAUGUAUACAUGUAAGAUCUUUUUAAAAAUGUAUGAAGUGGAUAGGGUCUUGAGUGUUUCUUCCCAGUGAAUAAACUUUGAAGAGAUUGUGCUGCCUAGCAAUGGUCAAAAAACCAAGAAGGAUGUAGGUUUCAGAUGCCAGGAACUCUUUAGACAAUGCCAUGCCCAAUUUGAAAUCUGGGAAUCAUUAAGAAUCAGCGUAAAUGCAAAUAAAUGUGCCUAUAUUGGUGCUACGGGAAUGUCUGGUUAUGUGCAUAAAAGUGGCCAGGCAAAUUCAGAAAACCAGAUGAAGCCACUUUUCCAGUUUAGAUUCAGAAGUCUGAAGAAUCAUAAAUAAACAGUCCAUCGUACUUGGUAGUGAUACAACAGUUUCUUCCAAGUAGGUUUGAGCACUUUACAAAAUAGGUCUGGUUGCUGGCAUUCCUGAGAGGUAGCCAGUGAUUAUUGUAAUCCCUACUUUACAAAGACAGCAUUGAGGCCUUAACCUGCUGAGCCACAAGGCGAACUCCCGAUAUUAUAUUUUAAGUCAACUUAAUGUUUUUGACUUAGUGAUGAUUAGUAAUUUACCCAAGGCCAUGGAGAAUAUCAAGACUGGAGCUAAAAAGACAACUUGCUCUGGUCACAGUUAUAUGGAUGUCAUUCUCUCUUGGCUGCCUGGCUUGGUGGUUCAAUAAAGGCUUAUAUGUCAUUUUCUUCCUGCUUCCCCCGGAUAUUUUCGCAAUUCACCCACACACAUAUUUGCUUAAAAUUCAACUCGAAUUUGUGAAAUUCAUUGUCUUGGAUUCAGUUCUGAAUAGCACUGAGAGUAAUGGAUUAUCAUUGUCAAGCCAAUCUAAGUGGCAGAUAAAUGAUUCUUUUAAACGUAAGUCAUCUUUAAGCUUCAUAAUUUUUUUUUUUUUGUCUUUUUGCCAUUUCUUGGGCCACUCCUGCGGCAUAUGGAGGUUACCAGGCUAGGGGUUCAAUCGGAGCUGUAGCCGCCGGCCUACGCCAGAGCCAUAGCAAUGCAGGAUCCAAGACGCGUCUGCAACCUACACCACAGCUCACGGCCACGCCGGAUUGUUGACUCACUGAGCAAGGUCAGGGAUCGAACCCGCAACCUCAUGGUUUCUAGUUGGAUUCGUUAACCACUGUGCCACGAUGGGAACUCCAAGCUUCAUAUUUUGUAUUGGUUCAGUUUAGCAGUCAGCUUAUUUAUGAGAAAGUUAAACAAUAUAAAAGAAAGUGUGGUCACUGCAAUUUUUCUUCCACCCCAAUUUGAACUAUUUUUUUGUUACGGCAAGGGGUUACAGUGUCUUUAAGGACUUCACUUAUUGACUCUUACAUAUUACAGAUUAUUUCUUGGUUACAAAUAAAGAUAGCUAUCCAGCCAUUUAAAAUAUAUUCAUUGAUUCUUUUGAAAGUAUGUUAUUUAUGUUAUUUAAAUCUUUACUUAGUGACCAUGACAAUAUUCAGAGUUAAAGUCAUUCAAAAUGACCUCUCUGUAGCAUUCAGCAUUUGAAUUUGCUUGGCUGUUAAUUCAUGAAGUUGUUAGGAAGACACUGGGAAACUGUCUUUGUUGAGCCACCAGCUGACCACAUUGGGUGAAAUGACUAGCCAGUCAGUUUAGUUAAACUUUGAAUUCCACCCUGCCUCCCCUUCACACUGUAGACCCCUGCCUGGGUUGUAUCACUCAGGGUAAAGUCUAGACUGGUAAAGCAUAAAGGCUAACGCAGAAAGGGCUAAAUAUAAUAGAAGUUUACUUCUCUGUCUCAUCUAAUAAUCUGGCCGGUCUAGCUUGACUGGAUAGCAUCUUUAUCUUUUGUGCAUUCCUGCUUUGGGCCUUUGUCCUUAUCUACAUGGUUGAAAUAUAGUGAAGUCCAAAGCAAGCAAUUUUCCUUGAAGCAAAUGACUUAAAAAUUGCACACAUCACAUCCAUUGACAUUUAAUUGGUUAGAUUAUGAUCAUUUCGCAAGAAGCUGCAAUGGCUGCUGGGAAAUACCUCUACCUGGGUAGCCAGGAGCUUGAGAGAAUUGGAGAGUAGAGUUAAGUGGAAAGGUAAGGCACUAACAACUUGAUUGGUUGAAUGGCCCCAAUCCAGUAAUUUCUUUCAUUCAUUCAUAUGUACAUACAUACGGAUGUACAUGUGACAAACAUACACACAUGUAUAUACAGACACAUUAAUUCCUACUGCAUGUUUAUUGAUGAUUUUGUGGUAGGUGCUAAUAUCAUAGCACUACAUGAAAAGGAUUCUGCCUCUGUGCUCCUAGAGUUUAUAUUUUAUUUUAUUUUAUUUAUUUAUUUAUUUAUUUAUUUAUUUUUGGUCUUUUUGCUAUUUCUUGGUCUUGGGCCGCUCCCGCGGCAUAUGGAGAUUCCCAGGCUAGGGGUCCAAUCGGAGCUGUAGCCACCGGCCUACACCAGAGCCACAGCAACGUGGGAUCCAAGCCGCGUCUGCAACCUACACCAUAGGUCACGGCAACGCCGGAUCAUUAACCCACUGAGCAAGGGCAGGGAUCGAACCCACAACCUCAUGGUUCCUAGUCGGAUUCGUUAACCACUGUGCCACGACGGGAACUCCUAGAGUUGAUAUUUUAAAAGGGAACAGACAUUAGGAAUGAUGAUAAUGACAACUGUUAGGAAGGGCAAAGAUUGGUUGCUCUGAGAAAAGUGUUCUCUAAAAGAGAGACCAGAGUAUCAGGGAUUUAUGUAGUUGAGCAUUACCUGGAAGCUCUGUUAGAUUAAUUUGAGUUUCUUGUCUCUUUCGUGCCAGUGUUCCUGUGAAUGUUAUUAGGCAUGUUAAUUUCUUGUUCAUAGCUUUAUUGAGAUAUAAUUCACACACAAUACAAUUCACUCAUUUAAAGUGUACAGUCAUUGUAUUCACAAGAGUUGAAAAGCAUCAUCACAAUUUAGUUUUAGAACAUUUCCAUCACCCCGGAGAGAGAUCCCCUACCCACUAGCAGUUAUUUCCCCUCCCCAGCCCCUGGCAACAACUACUUAACUUUCUGUCUGUAGAGUUUUACCUCUUCUGGAUAUUUUACAUACAUGGCAUCAUCUAGUAUGUAGUCUUUUCUGACUGACUACUUUCUCUUAGCAUAGUAUUUUCGAGGUUCAUCCAAAGCAUUCAGAUUUUUAGCUAUCUUAUAGCUGAAGAAUUGUACACAUUCUUACUCCUAAAUGUGAGAAAAUGGUGGCCUGAAAUACUCUUGCAGGGGAUGGAAUUGGGGGAAAAAUGCCUAUUUUCAUGUUGUUCGUGUUUCUGUAGAAAAAGACUUGGCCUCCGAACAGUUAAACUUUAGAAUUUAAAUGUUUGCAUUUUAAGUUGGCUGUUUUUAAACAUUGUUAACCAUAAUGCUAAACUAAGUAACUUGUAAACAAGAGCUGUCUCUCUUGAAUGUUAGUUUCAAAGAAAAAAAAUUUUAAAAUAUUGAUUUCUAGAGAAAUAUGCCCAAUAGAGUUCGUUUUCAAGCAGAAGUCACUUGUUGAAAUGUACAUAAAGGCAUAUUUUGUGUUAAAGACAAUAUUUGCAGCAAUUAUCAAGUAAGCCAUAUUUUGCACAGUGAACAAUCAAAAAUACAAAUAACAAAUGGUUUGAUUCAUCUUCUUUAAAAUGACAUUUUUGCUCUUCCAUCUGCCAAGGGCACAAAUACCCCACCUGCUCACCUUGAGUGUCUUUGGAAGAAGUUCUCAGCUUAGGUGACAACUUAACCAAGGUGGCAGGAAGUACUGCCUUUCUUUCACAAUUCAUAAAUCUCAGGAGAAUAUCUGAAGCUUAAAAAUGUACAAAACCAAAACCCUGCGUAUGGUAGCAUACCUAUAAUAACCUUAACUGCUUACCUUCUCGUAUCCAGUAACAUCUAGGACCUUAAAGGAGAAAACGGUUUAUCAAUGAAGAACCCUUAUUUUUCAGUCUGUUUUCAAAGUUGACACUUUCUGCCCAGGGUAUUGAUGUUGAUGGUAUCUUCUUUUGAAAGACUUGUGGUGAGCUGGACUUUUAUACAUGGAAAAGGAUGUUAAUCAUGUAAGUUUGUGCUUCUCUGUCCUUGCUCUGAACUACUAUACUUCCUUGGCUUUUGCAUGGGUUGGGAGUGAGGGGAAAGAAAAACUGCAAAACCUGAAGUCUUUGUACUCUAUUCAGAUGUGCUCUUUUUGAAGUGUGAAGAUCAUUCAGAGUUUCUCUUGACUCUUGUAUAUUAGCAUGUAUGUGGUAUAUAAUUAAAGGUAAUUAGGUGUUUUGGUAACUACCUGACAGAGGAGUGAGUUAUUUAAAAUUAUCACUUACUUAAAAAAAAAAAAAAAAAAAA
rnacentral:lncRNA from 1 species